AUUGAACGCUGGCGGUAUGCUUAACACAUGCAAGUCGAACGGCAGCAUGGUCUAGCUUGCUAGACUGAUGGCGAGUGGCGGACGGGUGAGUAACGCGUAGGAAUAUGCCUUGAAGAGUGGGACAACUUGGGGAAACUCAAGCUAAUACCGCAUGUACUCGGGAGAGUAAAGCUGAGGACCUUUGGGCCUGGCGCUUUAAGAUUAGCCUGCGUCCGAUUAGCUAGUUGGUAGGGUAAAGGCCUACCAAGGCGACGAUCGGUAGCUGGUCUGAGGGGAUGAUCAGCCACACUGGAACUGAGAGACGGUCCAGACUCCUACGGGAGGCAGCAGUGGGGAAUAUUGGACAAUGGGGGGAACCCUGAUCCAGCAAUGCCGCGUGUGUGAAGAAGGCCUGAGGGUUGUAAAGCACUUUCAGUGGGGAGGAGGUUUGGAAGGUUAAGAGCUAUUCAAUGGACGUUACCCACAGAAGAAGCACCGGCUAACUCCGUGCCAGCCGCCGCAGUAA
rnacentral:rRNA from 1 species